rnacentral:rRNA from 1 species
GCGUAUGGAACGGCUCGGUUCCCGGGUCAAUAAAGGACGUAGCAAAGUACGAAAGGGGUUGCAAAUUGCAAAAUUUCGGGAUUCAAUGAAUAUCCAAAUGCAUUGCCUUCCCUUCGCACCUUCGGUUGCAAGGGGCGCGUCGGCA